CCUACGGGAGGCAGCAGUGAGGAAUAUUGGACAAUGGGCGCAAGCCUGAUCCAGCCAUGCCGCGUGCAGGAAGACGCAUCUAUGGUGUGUAAACUGCUUUUGUACGGGAAGAAACACUCCCUCGUGAGGGAGCUUGACGGUACCGUAAGAAUAAGGAUCGGCUAACUCCGUGCCAGCAGCCGCGGUAAUACGGAGGAUCCAAGCGUUAUCCGGAAUCAUUGGGUUUAAAGGGUCCGUAGGCGGUUUAAUAAGUCAGUGGUGAAAGCCCAUCGCUCAACGAUGGAACGGCCAUUGAUACUGUUAGACUUGAAUUACUAGGAAGUAACUAGAAUAUGUAGUGUAGCGGUGAAAUGCUUAGAUAUUACAUGGAAUACCAAUUGCGAAGGCAGGUUACUACUAGUGGAUUGACGCUGAUGGACGAAAGCGUGGGGAGCGAACAGGAUUAGAUACCCUGGUAGUCCACGCCGUAAACGAUGGAUACUAGCUGUUGGGCGCAAGUUCAGUGGCUAAGCGAAAGUGAUAAGUAUCCCACCUGGGGAGUACGUUCGCAAGAAUGAAACUCAAAUGAAAUUGACGG
rnacentral:rRNA from 1 species